UAGAGUUUGAUCCUGGCUCAGAUUGAACGCUGGCGGUAUGCUUAACACAUGCAAGUCGAACGGAAACGAUACUAGCUUGCUAGUAGGCGUCGAGUGGCGGACGGGUGAGUAACGCGUAGGAAUCUACCUAAUAGUGGGGGAUAGCCCGGAGAAAUCCGGAUUAAUACCGCAUAAUCUGUGUGGAGUAAAGGGGCCCUCUUCUUGAAAGGUUUCGCUAUCAGAUGAGCCUGCGUAAGAUUAGCUAGUUGGUGAGGUAAAAGCUCACCAAGGCGACGAUCUUUAGCUGGUCUGAGAGGAUGAUCAGCCACACUGGGACUGAGACACGGCCCAGACUCCUACGGGAGGCAGCAGUGGGGAAUAUUGGACAAUGGGGGCAACCCUGAUCGCAGCAAUACCGCGUGUGUGAAGAAG
rnacentral:rRNA from 1 species